UACGGAGGGUGCGAGCGUUGUCCGGAAUCACUGGGCGUAAAGGGCGCGUAGGCGGCCACCGCAAGUCGACUGUGAAAUCUCCGGGCUUAACCCGGAAAGGUCAGCCGAUACUGCGGGGCUAGAGUGCAGAAGGGGCAACUGGAAUUCUCGGUGUAGCGGUGAAAUGCGCAGAUAUCGGGAGGAACACCAGUAGCGAAGGCGACACUCUGGGCCGGUACUGACGCUGAGGAGCGAAAGCGUGGGGAUCAAACAGG
rnacentral:rRNA from 1 species